UACGGAGGGUGCGAGCGUUGUCCGGAUUUACUGGGCGUAAAGAGCGUGUAGGCGGCCAAGCAGGUCCGUUGUGAAAACUGGAGGCUUAACCUCCAGACGUCGACGGAAACCGCGCGGCUAGAGUCCGGAAGAGGAGAGUGGAAUUCCUGGUGUAGCGGUGAAAUGCGCAGAUAUCAGGAAGAACACCAAUGGCGAAGGCAGCUCUCUGGGACGGGACUGACGCUGAGACGCGAAAGCGUGGGGAGCGAACAGG
rnacentral:rRNA from 1 species